rnacentral:tRNA from 1 species
ACCUAUCUGGCUCAGUUGGUAGAGCGUGCAACUCUUGAUCUCAGGGUUGUGGGUUUGAGCCCCAUGUUGGGUG